rnacentral:ncRNA from 1 species
GGUGGCCGGAAAGGCCCCAACAGGGAAGCCGGUGCAAAUCCGGAACUGUGCCCGCAGCUGUGAAAUCCGUGAACGCUUCUGCCGAUAGGCCAUUGCUCCCGGAAGGGGAGUGAGAAGGCGGCAGGAGAAGGGAUUGAGUCAGAAGACCUGCCUUAUUCA